GACGAACCGUGCGAACGUUAUUCGGAAUCACUGGGCUUAAAGCGCGUGUAGGCGGGCCGCCGCGUCGGUUGCUGAAAUCCCCCCGGCUCAACCGGGGAACGGGCAGCGAAACGGGCGGCCUGGAGGGGGGGUAGGGGGGGGCCGGAACUCACGGUGGAGCGGUGAAAUGCGUUGAGAUCGUGAGGAACGCCCGUGGCGAAAGCGGGCCCCUGGACCCUUGCUGACGCUGAGACGCGAAAAGCCAGGGGGAGCGAACGGGG
rnacentral:rRNA from 1 species